GCAGUAUGUAUGACGAAUCCUAUGAGACACAUGGAUAAAGUGAGGACUGGACAAAUAUUUAUCACAUGAAUGAAUGAAUGAAUGAAUGAGGGUGUGGGUGAGUAAGUGGCUGCAUGAAUGAGCAGACACACCCUUAGAGAAUGAGAUGGCUUCCUAAUCCAGGAUACUGAGUGCGCUCAAAGAAUGUCAUUUGGGGCUUUCCUAGUGAGCGCUCCAUGACGGAGCCAUACCCUCUUCUUUUCCUCGAGCCCCAUAUGUCUUAUUUUCUCCCCAACUUCAUUGUGGGGGACUAUGUCCUAGACUCCUUUGGGAACAAAUAUGCUAGACUCAAUAUGUGGUAUAUAGUAGUUGCCCAAUAAAUGUGUGAUGAACUGAAGUGGAAGAUAAAUAAGACUUGGACCCUUACACUUACACCCUCUCUCACUUACAAUUUAGUGAGAGAGAAAUCAUAGGCAUAUAAGUACUAUAUGACAAAGCAUCACAGGUAACUGGUACCAAAAAAGAGCCAAGGAAUAUAUGCUAUAGGUCAGAGCUGAGAAAACUUACUAUGGGUUGAAAAAGCAAGGGAAUGCUUCAUGAAGGAAGGGAAUGAGGUUUAAAGGCUACACCCUGAAGGAAGAGAAAGAUUCGGAGGCAAGGGAGAAGGUGAUGCUGAUAGGGGCAAAGGGCUGUGCCCAGGAGGAAGGCCAGUUCAGAAAACCUGAGUAGAUUUAGUGUAGCUGGACAGCAGAUUCAAGCAGAAGAGUGCGGCAUGUGCCACAAGUAGGUGGUGGCGACUGUAGGAGAAGGGAUUUGGAUCCGGAAGCUAGUGAGGGCGUUUGAGCAGUGGAAGGAAGUGCAAGGAAUGCUGUGAGGCGUGGAAAGAUGAUCUGGAGGAGACAGACAGAUGUGGCCUUCCUGGACCUCUCUGUCAUUAUGCAGAGAACGACCAGGGACAUGUCCAAGAUGCACCUUCUAAUGAGAUAUGUGAGCUUGGGAGCAUGAAGCCGCCAGCGAACGUUCCCUGGAGGCCACUGGGCAUUCAUCUUGACAUUUAUAAAUAUUCUGCUUAAUCGUCAUAAUAAUUCAUAAGGGUAGGUACUAUUAUUUUUCUCACUGUGUCAUUGGCCAGAUCUCAAUCACGCAGCUGCAAAGGAGUCUGGGAAAUAGAGACUCUUCUCUGGGUACAGUGCCAUCUCAAAUAAAAUCAGGACACUCUUACCAAGGAAAAAAGGGAGAAGGAAUGCUGGCUUAAAUAUUUAGAAGCGUCUGCUUUGGGCACCUCGUCCAUCUGUAAUUCUGUGGCAAUUUGUCUCUUGGAGAAGAAAAUGAGAAAAUGGUUGCAAAGUGCUCAACAAAAUGCUUUGCUCAGGCUGUGUACUCAAAACAUGCUAGCUGGGGCUUCCCUGAUGGUGCAGUGGUUAAGAAUCCACCUGCCAAUGCAGGGGACACAGGUUCGAUCCCUGGUCGGGGGAGAUCCCACCUGCUGCAGAGCA